UACGUAGGGUGCAAGCGUUGCUCGGAAUUAUUGGGCGUAAAGAGCUCGUAGGCGGCCUGUUGCGUCCGCUGUGAAAGCCCGGGGCUUAACCCCGGGUCGGCAGUGGAUACGGGCAGGCUAGAGGUAGGUAGGGGAGAAUGGAAUUCCCGGUGUAGCGGUGAAAUGCGCAGAUAUCGGGAGGAACACCGGUGGCGAAGGCGGUUCUCUGGGCCGGAACUGACGCUGAGGAGCGAAAGCGUGGGGAGCGAACAGG
rnacentral:rRNA from 1 species